rnacentral:lncRNA from 1 species
AGAAACCUGCCUGGUUUUAUCAUAACUUGGCUUUGGUCUCAAUGGAGUUGUGUAGGUCCAAGCCUGCAUUGGGGAGAAAGGAACCCCAAUCCUUCAGUGCUUUAUGAUGGCUGUCCAGUGGUAUGGUCAGGGUUAGCAUUCCUUCUAGGAUCUGCCCACAGUUACCUGGCAACAGACAGGAUGCUACAGGAGUGUGCCAGCUGCCAGAGUGGCUGGUAAGACAUGCUGAUCCUGGGAGCAUGAAGAUUCAGCUCCCAUGGUUCGGGUCCCUGGAGUCAUUCCUGUGCCCUUGGAGGAAGAUGGAGGAUUCCCGUCAUCUUUUGUCCGCAUGGAGAUUUUGACAUUGCUGCAUUAUUGUUACCGCUACUGCAUGACCUGUCCACCAGGGACUGCACUGGUACCCUCUGUGCUCUGCUGCAUGCAGGAGGAGAAGACCAGACUCCAGUCAUUACUCCUGCCCCUCCUCAUUCCCCCGGCGGCUGCUGCCACUGUGUCUGGUGUUGCUAUUUUACAGACUGUGGCUUCACAGGAAUGCUAUCUGCAUGAAGCUGCUGGAGACAGGGGAAUACUGUCCUGGUUAUGCGGAUCUCAGACCUGGUUCCAUUGCCUGCUGGUUGUUCCAGAGAAGGAUGGGAGAUCCUGAACUGUCUUGGGAAAGACUUUGGCAACUUCACUGCUAUUGUGGCAGCCAUUGCUGCUGCAGCCACUGUGUCUGCAGUGUCUGGAAUUGCCCUACCCCCAAUCUGUUGUUAGGCAAGCACAGUGG